rnacentral:rRNA from 2 species
GCUAUCUGCAAGUCGAGCGACUGAUUAGAAGCUUGCUUCUAUGACGUUAGCGGCGGACGGGUGAGUAACACGUGGGCAACCUGCCUGUAAGACUGGGAUAACUUCGGGAAACCGAAGCUAAUACCGGAUAGGAUCUUCUCCUUCAUGGGAGAUGAUUGAAAGAUGGUUUCGGCUAUCACUUACAGAUGGGCCCGCGGUGCAUUAGCUAGUUGGUGAGGUAACGGCUCACCAAGGCAACGAUGCAUAGCCGACCUGAGAGGGUGAUCGGCCACACUGGGACUGAGACACGGCCCAGACUCCUACGGGAGGCAGCAGUAGGGAAUCUUCCGCAAUGGACGAAAGUCUGACGGAGCAACGCCGCGUGAGUGAUGAAGGCUUUCGGGUCG